rnacentral:sRNA from 19 species
GUCGGCUGAUCGGAGACCCUGUGGUCCAGGAUCCUGAACAGCCCCCCCAGCCCCCCAGAUCAUGGGCCGGUCAGCCGACAAACCUAUAUCCCCUCCCCGAGAUGAGCCCGCGCGGACCACCCCCACCGCGCGGGCU